rnacentral:lncRNA from 1 species
AGUCCCAGCUGUUCCAGGAAAACAGAAGUGGUGCCCUCAGGAAGCUGGGCACUGAGCUGCCCCAUCCACGUGUGUCAGAGGUUCCCUGCCCAGAGUUCCCAGGAGCCUCGGAGUCCAAAGUCCCUCGUUGCUGGUGACGACGGUUCCCUGCCUGUGCUUCCAGCACGCGAUCCCGACACCAAACGGCGCAGGCCUUUCCCAUUUGUUAGCGGCUCAAGUCUCUGUCCAGAUGACCAGGAGCCGCUGACUCCAGACUGCCCACCAGGCUCUGGUUCUGCAUGUGCUUAACAGCCAACUGGGACGGACAGCUCCAGUCCCCAUGUCCCUCACCCGUGUGGCCUUUAUCAGACCUUCGCAGCCCUAGCACCAAGUCCUACCCCAAACCCUCAGCUGCCCACCCUGCAACACUGACCAAACCCUGAGUCCAGCCAUCUGGCCCUCAGAAACUGUCCCCGGCUCCAGGCCAAGCUGCCUUACAGAUGGGCCCUGGGUUCCCUAGGAAACUGCAGGCUGAACUGGCUGUCAGUGGAGGGUUUCGGCUGUGUGGUUGGCCACCUGGGCAGAAGCCUUGCAAACUGCCUUCUUACCUGGUACUUCCCCUUCCUGAGCUCCAAACUCAACCCUUUCUGAGUCACCUGGGCCUUGGACACCUGUCCCUUUGGAGUCAUUUACAUCUUAGAAACCCAGGCCUUCUAAAUCGCAGUCACCUUGGAUAUCAGAUGAGUGCCCUGCCUCAUUUCAGUCUUCUGGACUCUUAAAUAUUUCAGCUGGUUCUUGGUGUUCCUCCUGCAUAUCCUAGGCCCGUGAGGGCUGGACUCCAAGAACUGGCCACGCCAUUCCUAAAACCAAGUCUCUGAGUCGCCAGAGCCUUGGUUACUUGCCCAGAUUAACAAAACCCCGAAGCAGGGUCAGCGUCCGGCCUUCACUCACCCCUCCGCUCAUGCAUCCACUUCUCCCGUCAACGAGGGUUCACGGAGCAGGUGCUUUGGAGCCACAGCACGUGCCAGUCGCCCAGCAAGGAAUGGCAAAACAUGCUUCCCAGACUGCAGAUGCUCACAGCCCAGGGGAAGGUGUCCAAGGCGAUCUAACCCAUUUCAGCCCCAUUGAACCAUGUCACAGUGAGUUGGGCAAGUUUCACGUACCAGGUGAGCACUCGGGAAAGGCAUCUAACGCGUGCAGGGACUGUCUUCCUCAGACAGUGAGUGAUAUGGAGUCUAGGCUGAAUCCUGAAUGGCAGCAAGAGCGGGGGAAGGGGUUCCAGUGGGGACGGCACUCCGGAUGUCCCGUGUAAAAACCCACAGAGAGCGCGACUCAGAAGGGGGAAUGGAAAACAUCGCAUGACGGGUGUCACGGGAGAGGGCUGCAGGGCCUGACCGUAUCGAAGUUGGUUGCUACCCUGAGGGCGAUGGGAAGCCACAGAGGGAGUCUGAGUGGCACCCACCCCACCUGCUCUGCUCUUCACGACCAAGAGCUUCACUUGGAGACUCUCACUUUGCCAUCUGAUGGAGGAUGAGUUAGAGGGAAGGCGAGGUCUCGGGCAGGAAGAGGCGACUGUGGCAGGAUUCCAAGAAUGUGGUAAGGGCCUGCACCAAGGGACUGGUAAAAAGCACUGGGGAUGUAACAGCAGUGGGACUUGGUGGUUGACUGGGCAUGAAGAGGGUGCAGCAGGGAGGGGUCUCGAGUGAUGCCCAGGUCACCAGGAUGAUGGAUGCUGGAUGGUGGGAACGUGGUGCUGUGAAGUGUCCUUAGAGGAUAAAGGAGGAACGGGAGACAAGGUCCUCAACAGCAAGAGCAGUGCUGACUCCAAGGCGACCUCGGAACUUCGUGUGCGGAGCUGCGUCGCCAGGAGCCGCCCUGGCCAAAGGCAGAGGUCUGAGAAUGAGCAGCACGCGGAGGAAGUGGAGCCACGCGCACUGUCGAGUGAGAAGAGCAGAGGGCCGACGAUGGAGCAUGAAGAGGUGGACGUGUACAUAGUCUCCAAGUGUCUUCCGUACCUGACACUUUUCCUACUUGUGACAAACAAGUAACUUUACAACGGAGAGACCUGCCAGAUACCAGCCUAACCCAAUGAUCAAAAUUAACAUCUCCAGGAAUGGGCCAAAGACCUCCUGAUAUGACGCCCUGCGAAGGACACCACCUCCCUUCUGUAAUAUUCCUCCCCCAAGUGCAUAAUCCGAGUCUAAUCAAGGGAACAGCAGACAAAUGUGUGCUGAAGAACAUUGUACAAAACAACAGGCCUGUGCUCUUCAAAACUGUCAAAGUUAAAAAAAACAACAAAAAACAACAAAAAAAA